rnacentral:rRNA from 1 species
AGUGAACGCUGGCGGUAGGCCUAACACAUGCAAGUCGAACGGCAGCACAUUAAGAGCUUGCUCUUACGGGUGGCGAGUGGCGGACGGGUGAGGCAUACAUCGGAAUCUACUUUUUCGUGGGGGAUAACGUAGGGAAACUUACGCUAAUACCGCAUACGACCUACGGGUGAAAGCAGGGGAUCUUCGGACCUUGCGCGAUUGAAUGAGCCGAUGUCGGAUUAGCUAGUUGGCGGGGUAAAGGCCCACCAAGGCGACGAUCCGUAGCUGGUCUGAGAGGAUGAUCAGCCACACUGGAACUGAGACACGGUCCAGACUCCUACGGGAGGCAGCAGUGGGGAAUAUUGGACAAUGGGCGCAAGCCUGAUCCAGCCAUACCGCGUGGGUGAAGAAGGCCUUCGGGUUGUAAAGCCCUUUUGUUGGGAAAGAAAAGCAGCAGGUUAAUACCCCGCUGUUCUGACGGUACCCAAAGAAUAAGCACCGGCUAACUUCGUG